AUCAGCCUACCAAACACACCCUUAAAUCCAUUUCUUCUCCACACCUAAAACUCAACCAAAAUAUUGAUACUCUUCUUUCUCUCUUCUCUGUAAAAUGUCAAAUCCCUUGGACCGUCGGAUAAUGGCCAUGCCGAUGGUCUUCCACCUUCCCCUUCACCUUUCAAUCAUGCCUAUCAAGAUCACAGCUCUCCCAUCAACUUUAUAUCCCUUCUAUACCCCUUUUUUGAUCAAAUCAAUUUCCCAAAAUACUCCAACACCACUGUUACGUCUGAAAAGGCAGAGGGAGUGAAGAACCGUCAGAUUUUAAGGAUGUUAUCUCUUUAAAUAUGAUGGUUCCAAGUCCUUCACCUCAAAACAGUCUUUUCUUGUUCACAUCAAUCUGAAAUUCAGGCUUUCUCUUUGGAGCCUCUAUAGAGAGCUAUUGCAAUACCCUCUCAAGUUCGACUAUAAAAGCAGCCCUUUGGACUCUCAAUUUUUUUCAUGAAGAGUCAUCAGGAAACUAUCAUAAUUAGCAUUUAGUAUCAGCAAGAAUCACCAGGAAUUAAAAAUAGCACCAAGUAUUAGUUCAUACUACUAUUUUCUUCUUUAUUAUCUUGAUUCUCUUGUCGAGUUGGAAGUUCGAAGUUCGGGUGUGAGUUUUUUAAUACCAACUAGCAAGCCUUAAUUUGCUGCCCCAUACAAGAGAAAUAUGGUGAAAGAGGAGUGAAAUCUAAGCUGGAAAGGAGAAAAAGCGAGCUGAGCAAAACAAAAUCUGAAAUUAUGUCUCAGGAAUAGCCCUCAAAUAUCGCUAUCGCAAUCUAAAGAGUGGCAAUCGCGACAGGUGAAGAUGUCGCCAUCGCGAUUGGUCCAUAAAGUUUAAAGUGUUGUGAUCACGAGAGGAUCACCGCAAUCGCUUAAGUCUAACAGCAGAAGAAGUCACGAUUAUGAUAAAAUAGACUGCGAUCGCAGCCAUCAGGCAAAAUAUAAGGGUAGCGAUGGAAUUUCACAAGGCAUGAUCCCAAGACAUAAAAGUCUCAAUCCCUAUCAUUUUUCUGCAGCCAAGUUUUUAGUUUGUGGAGCUUAGCAUAUCUAGAAAACUAUUUUUGAGUGAAAACCCUCUUUUGAGUGGAUUCCAAGUAAGGAUUUAACAUUAUUAUUAGAUAUUUAUUGAGACUAAAAGCUGGAGAUACCUACUUUUUAUUCUU